CAGGGACUCUUAUUCAUACAUCGUGCCAUUGUCCAAUAUGAAGAAACUAGUGUUGAUUCUGAUCAUGUUACUUAUUGUGACUUCGUUUAUUGAUAAUGGUGGUACCACUCGUCGACAACGAUUAUUGAACAAAAAACACCUCACUGACAACAUACAAGAAGUCGUGGAUUUGGAAGAAAGGGUAAAAGAAUUACAAGGUCGAGAAAGCGGAUGAUACUAUCUCAAUCAAGAAAUGGAAACACCUUGUUGCUGUUGGCUUAUACAUACUAUCUUGUUUAGAUGGUAGAUUAUGUCAAUAAAAAUAUGGCCUUAUAACUUG